rnacentral:tRNA from 1 species
GGAGGCGUCGCAUAGUGGCUUAGUGCGCUCGCUUGGAAAGCGGGUAUGCCGUAACUGGCAUCAGAGGUUCGAAUCCUCUCGCCUCCG